UUAUGGCUAACUAAGCUGGACAAGUCCCCUUUCCAAUAAAGAUCUGGAAUUCAAUGGUUGCAAACAGCAUCCUCCUUGGUAGUGUGUGCAGCCUGAGUUCUAUAUGGGUUGCCCUAAGUGACCUUGGAGACAAUA